rnacentral:rRNA from 1 species
UACGGGGGGAGCAAGCGUUGUUCGGAUUUACUGGGCGUAAAGGGCGCGUAGGCGGCCAGCGCAAGUCAGUUGUGAAAUCUCCGGGCUUAACUCGGAACGGUCAACUGAUACUGCGCGGCUAGAGUGCGGAAGGGGCAACUGGAAUUCUCGGUGUAGCGGUGAAAUGCGUAGAUAUCGAGAGGAACACCUGCGGCGAAGGCGGGUUGCUGGGACGGUACUGACGCUGAGACGCGAAAGCGUGGGGAGCAAACAGG